AACGAACGCUGGCGGCAUGCCUAACACAUGCAAGUCGAACGAGACCUUCGGGUCUCGUGGCGCACGGGUGCGUAACGCGUGGGAACCUGCCCUUAGGUUCGGAAUAACUCCCCGAAAGGGGUGCUAAUACCGGAUAAUGUCUUCGGACCAAAGAUUUAUCGCCUUUGGAUGGGCCCGCGUUGGAUUAGCUAGUUGGUAGGGUAAAAGCCUACCAAGGCGACGAUCCAUAGCUGGUCUGAGAGGAUGAUCAGCCACACUGGGACUGAGACACGGCCCAGACUCCUACGGGAGGCAGCAGUGGGGAAUAUUGGACAAUGGGCGGAAGCCUGAUCCAGCAAUGCCGCGUGAGUGAUGAAGGCCUUAGGGUUGUAAAGCUCUUUUACCCGGGAUGAUAAUGACAGUACCGGGAGAAUAAGCUCCGGCUAACUCCGUG
rnacentral:rRNA from 1 species